AGAAACAAGCGUGUCGUUGCGAAGUGCAAGUCAAGCGGGAAAAAAAGCAAUGUACUGCUAGUAUACUUAGGCUACUUCUUUGUGUUGUGAAAGUAGCAGAUACCAAAAAAAGAAGCAAAGUAGCGGAGACAGCAUCACGGAAUAAAGCCGCACAUUCUUCCUGCGUUUCUGCCGCUGCCUCACAUGACAAAAUAAUACUACAGCGCAACCGCGACGCAAAAGCCCAUUUCAGUCCGCCUAACAAACACCACAAAGUCCACCUACUCUGCGCCAACUGACCUAAGACGUGAGCGUUAUGGGACGUUUUAAGAAAGCCACCAAAACAACCCGUUCCAUCUUCACUAUGUUGUGUCAAAACAUUGCAGGUAUUGUUACGAUAUGCUUUCUUUCCUGAUCACUCAUCAUUCAUUCAAUCAUAUUGUGCACUGUUGGUAACGUGUCUCAGUUGACUAUUUGUGGUUGGAUCUGCAUAAAUGAAUAUAUACAACAAAUGGGAUAUGGCAUCUUUUUGCAUGAAUUACACUCCUAGGCAUACAUCAUGAGUCUUACUCACCAGAAAGGUAAUCUAAAUGUAACAAGGCCCCCCUUCAAAUAAACAACAACUCAGGUUCUUUUAAAUAAAUCCCCAAGAUUUAUUAAUGGCUUUACAGAGUUGUUUUAUUACACAGGACACCCUACACACAUACGUUAACCCCGCAAGAGUUGAGCAUCAAACCAUGCAAAGGGGCAAACAAGUCACACAAAACCAUUAAAUAAAUUCAAACACAAAAAAAGAUAAACCUUGUGAUUCAUACCAUUCAUCAAAG